CUACUCAAAAACCAUACAAUAGAAAAGAUAAUAAAGAAAGAUCUGGAAUCGACGAUUUGCUUUGCGGAUAACAAAUUAAAGGGUGUCCACUCAAAUCUCUUUUUAACUUUUGCCUUUUGAAACUCCUUCCCUUCUGAGUUCUUGCUGCGAACUUGUGUUAUUACUCAUGUUGAGAGUUUCAUUUUUUCUGUGUUUUCUUCUCGUAAAGCUUUCUUUAUGCGCUGAUAAAUUUAGCAGAGAUGACUUCCCUCCAGGCUUCGUGUUUGGUGCUUCCUCCUCUGCUUAUCAGGUGGAAGGUGCUGCAGACCAAGACGGAAGGACCCCAAGCAUCUUGGACACAUAUGCACAUGCGGGUAAUUAUGAUGGAGCCACUGGAGAUGUAGCGUGUGAUCAGUAUCACAAAUACAAGGAAGAUGUCCAACUAAUGGUGGAUACUGGUUUGGAGGCAUAUAGAUUUUCCAUCUCAUGGUCAAGACUUAUCCCAUAUGGAAGAGGACCUGUCAAUCCAAAGGGUGUACAAUAUUACAACAAUCUUAUUGAUGAACUGAUCACCCAUGGAAUCGAACCACAUGUUACUUUACACCACAGUGAUCUCCCACAGGCACUUGAUGAUGAGUAUGGAGGAUGGGUUAGUCGAAAAAUUGUAAAAGACUUCACUACAUAUGCAGAUGCGUGCUUCAAAAAUUUCGGGGAUAGAGUUUUGCAUUGGACUACUAUGAAUGAGCCUAAUAUUUUUAUACUUGCGGGUUACGAUUUUGGAUUUCUUCCACCACAGCGAUGUUCUGCUCCAUUUGGUGUCAAUUGUUCUAGGGGUAAUUCCUCAACAGAGCCAUACAUGGCAGCUCAUUAUACCUUGUUAGCUCAUGCAUCAGCUGCUAGAUUGUACAAGAAAAUGUACCAGGACAAGCAGCAUGGAUAUAUAGGAAUCAAUGUUUUUGCCUAUUGGUUUGUUCCUCUAACAAAAACUAUUGAAGAUGAACUUGCCACCCAAAGAGCCAUGGACUUCUACUUUGGUUGGGUUUUGAAUCCCUUGGUGUUUGGAGAUUACCCUGAUGUAAUGAAAAAGAUAGUAGGCUCUAGAAUUCCUGUUUUUACUAGUCUUGAGUCCCGAAUUGUCAGGGGUUCAUUUGACUUCAUUGGAUUGAAUUAUUAUAACAUAUCAAACAUCAAGGACUACUCCAGCACUUUAAAGAUGGAAACCAGAGACUUUAUGGCAGACUCAGCAAUAAAGAUAUUGCAGCACUAGUGAUCGUGUUGUUUGAAUCAGUAUGUAAUAUCUCCCUGGGGCCUGCAAGAACUGUUGGAAUAUAUCAAGGAAAAUUAUGGCAAUCCUCCUAUAUAUAUCCAUGAAAAUGGUCAACGGACUCGACGCGAUUCAUCUUUGGAGGACUGGGGCGGGUGAAAUUUUUGCAAGGGCACAUCCAAUCUUUGCUUGAAGCUAUAAGGAAUGGAUCAAACUCAAGAGGUUAUUUAACAUGGUCCUUCUUGGAUUCUCUUGAACUGUUAGACGGCUAUGAAUCGAGCUACGGCCUAUACUACGUGGAUUUGGAAGACCCUGAUUUGAAAAGACAACCUAAACUCUCUGCUCAUUGGUACUCUCAUUUUCUAAAGAGAAAAAAUGUCAUCAACUUUGAUGAAGUUCUUACAUCCAUUUCCAAUGGUUACGACAUUCAGUAGAUUUCAUUAUACACAGUUAUAUUCUAAAAUGAACAUGUUUACAUUCCCAUAUGUUUUGUUAUAAUUCUUAAGUUAUGUAACCUUCACUUCUUUUUUACAUUCUUCGGAAAUGUAAUCGCCACUUGAAGUAUUUUAAAUAACUAUUAGUCUUGUUCUCUUGUUAA